GCAGGCCUGAUCCGGACUGAUAACGGGGAGUUUUUCAUCGAGCCUCUGGAGAAGGGUCAGCAGGAUGUGGAGGUGAAAGGUCGUGUCCAUGUGGUCUACAGGAGAUCUGCCAUCAAAAGUGAACCAGUCCAAACAAGGAAGGACCUCCCCAAUGAAGACUUUGGGAUUGCUGACCUCCCGGUGCGCUGGACCUCUUGGAGCUCAAGCUGACAGAGUCUGAGCGCAAACGGCGGCACGCCAAGAAGGACGACUACAACAUCGAGGUGCUGCUGGCUGUGGACGACUCUGUGGUGCGCUUCCAUGGCAAGGAGCACGUACAGAACUAUGUCCUCACACUCAUCAACAUAGUUGAUGAGAUCUACCACGAUGAGUCCUUGGGAACCAACAUCAACAUCGUCCUCGUCCGCAUGAUCAUGGUCGGGUACAGACAGUCCAUCAGCCUGAUCGAGCGUGGGAACCCGUCCCGUAGCCUGGAGCAGGUGUGUCGCUGGGCCAACACGCAGCAGCGUCGGGACCCCGAUCAUGCUGAGUACCAUGACCAUGCCAUCUUCCUCACAAGGCAAGAUUUUGGUCCCGCAGGUUACGCCCCGGUGACAGGCAUGUGCCACCCUCUGAGGAGCUGCACUCUGAACCACGAGGACGGAUUCUCCUCGGCUUUCGUGGUGGCGCACGAGACCGGACAUGUGUUAGGUAUGGAACAUGACGGACAGGGGAAUCGUUGUUCUGACGAGACCAGCAUGGGGAGUAUCAUGGCUCCGCUGGUCCAAGCAGCCUUCCAUCGCUACCACUGGUCACGCUGCAGUAAACAGGAACUGAACCGAUACAUCCACUCUUAUGACUGUCUCCUGGACAACCCUUUUGAACACAAGUGGCCCAAGCUUCCUGAGCUACCUGGGAUUAACUACUCCAUGGACGAGCAGUGUCGUUUUGAUUUCGGCGUGGGCUACAAGAUGUGCACCGCUGUAAGUCCUCUCCAGCAGCCAGCUAGACCCCUGAGAUGCAAGUCACCUGACAACCAGUACUUUUGUAAGACCAAGAAGGGUCCUCCGGUGGAUGGGACGGAGUGUGCACCGUCGAAGUGGUGCUUCAAGGGCCACUGUAUCUGGCGCUCCUCUAACCAGCCUCAGGGCCAUGACGGUAACUGGGGGUCCUGGACUAAGUUUGGGUCCUGCUCCAGAACCUGUGGAGGUGGAGUACGCUCCCGGAGCAGAACUUGUAACAACCCUGUGCCUGCUUACGGCGGUCGGGAUUGCCCCGGGUCCACCUUCGAUUACCAGAUGUGUAACAUGGAGGAGUGUGUCGGACCCUACGAGGACUUCCGCGCUCAACAGUGUGUCCAGAGGAGCAACAAAUAUCACAAGAACACCAAGCACACCUGGCUACCUUACGAACACCCAGAUGAGGCUCACAAGUGUGAGUUGAGCUGUCAGUCCAAAGAGACCGGUGAGGUGGUGGUCAUGAACCAGGUGAUGCAUGAUGGGACGCGGUGCAGCUACACAGACCCUUUCAGUGUCUGCACCCGGGGGGAAUGUCUGCAUGUGGGCUGCGACAAAGAGGUUGGCUCGUACAAACAAGAAGACAAGUGUGGAGUCUGUGGUGGGGACAACUCCCACUGUCGCACUGUCAAACUGACCCUCACCAAGAUACCAAAGAAAACAGGCAUGCUGAAGAUGUUUGAUACCCAACAUCAGUUGCCACAUCGUUAUAGAGGAGAAUGAGACUUCCUCCCACAUAAUUGCUGUGAAGAAUCAAGUCACAGGCAGCUUCAUAUUGAACGCAAAAAGUGGAGAUGCCAAGUCCAGAACCUUCAUUGAGAGCGGUUUGGAGUGGGAGUACGUCUUCGGAAGCGGCGAGAAAGAAACCCUGAAAACAAUCGGCCCCCUUCACGAGGGCAUCGUUGUUCUGGUCAUUCCACAGGAGGAGGACACUAAGAUCAGUCUGACAUAUAAGUACAUUAUCCAUGAGGACCUGCUGCCGGUCAUCACCAAUAACAAUGUUCUCCUGGCCGAGCUGGAUACCUACGAGUGGGCCCUGAAGAGCUGGUCGCAGUGCUCUAAACCCUGUGGGGGAGGUAUACAGUACACCAAAUACGGAUGCAGGAGGAAGAGCGACAGUCGACUGGUGCACCGGAACCUCUGUGAAACCAGCAAGAAGCCCAAACCCAUCCGGAAGAGGUGCAACGUGAACGAGUGCAGCCAGCCAACGGCCACCGGUGGCCUCCAGCACCCUGUAGGGCCACCGGUUGGCCUCUUCACCACAGAGUAUAGACUCUUCACCACCCAGGUACCGGUUACUCUAGACAAGGGACAGUCACCUUCCCCGUUCACUAAAGUAGGGAUGGAGAAUUCAACGACAAAGACAGAGGGUGUACAUCAAAUUGUUCCUGAGAAUCCUGUCCACAAACUCUCCUUCAAUGAGCCAUGUCUCGGAGACAAGUCUAUAUUCUGCCAGAUGGAGGUCCUAGCCCGUUACUGUUCCAUUCCUGGCUACAACAAGCUGUGCUGUGAGUCCUGCAACAGGAAGGAAGGCUUCACCACCCUCUUCUCUCCAUCCCCAGACCUCCACAAGACUGGAGGACCCUCCGACUCAGACUCUGAGACUGGCCAGGAGACCUCUACCCAGCCCAACCCCACCGCCUCCACCACCCUAUCAUCAGACUCCCCGCUCCCCACCACCACCCAGAGCCCAUCCCGAACCACUAAGACCCCUAGACGGCCUCGCUCCACUGCUCAGGGCCUGACCACCUCACCGUCGGCGAGUGCCGUCGUUCCCCAGGGUCCUUUCUUUGGGGUCGGAGAUGGAGACUUGGUCCCUGGGCUCCCUUCUCUACCUCCAGGUCCCAGCCCGCCUCUCCGGCCCCGGCCCCGGCUCCGAUCCAAUGGAGACUUGGUCCCUGGGCUCCCUUCUCUACCUCCAGGUCCCAGCCCGCCUCUCCGGCUCCGAUCCAAUGGAGACGCUGCUUUAUCGCCAUCUAAAGAGCACAGCAGUCCAAACCACCGCUCUUUAGGCCAAUCCGCCGGCCCCGACCCUGAACCCGGGCCUGCUGGAACUGUGGCUGGCGUUGCUGCUGCCAGGUCAAGAAGGGAGGAUGUAGGAUCAGACUCGGCUCACAGGACCAGAACAACCAGAACCCUGUCCCAUGUGCUGACAUGAUCACUGACUUAUCCUGGGACUUGCUGCUCAGUAAUAUGGUCCAACGUGACUUCUGUCAGCUCAACGUUAUUGCAACGUUGUUACAGCAUUAGAGUGUUACAGCGUUACAAUGUGACAAUGUUACAAUAUGACAAUGUUACAAUGUGACAACUUUAUUACAACAUUGUUACAACAUUAUUACAACCAUCUGAUGGAUUAUCCUGGACUGGACUCUCACCCGAUUGCUGCAAGAAUAAAUUAACAUAAAAUAAAAAAUAAAAAAUCCAUGCCAGUGGACUUAGACCACUAUUGGUUACCUCAUGGAACCAGCAGAGUGAUCUCUAUGCACUGCAUCACUCAGCCCUCUCUGCUUCAGUUAAUAAACGGAAUAAUAAACAAGAAAAUAAAAUGGUGCUGGAACUAAAAUGACUACAAGACAUGUUAAACAAUGUGACGACUGCAUUGCCACCAUUUACUUCCUGAUCUGUGUACAGUUGUGCAAGCGUAUUUUGAAAGUGCAUCAGAACUACUUAUUGAACUUUAAUAUUGUGAAGAUAUUGUGUGGCACGGCCCAAAAACAAAACCAUCACUUUGGGGGCUGUCACAAGUUGAAGGGAUGAUGUCACAAGUAUUGGUGAUGUCUCAAGUUUGGAGAUGAUGUCACAAUGUAUUGGUGAUGAUGUCGCAGUGUCUUGGUGAUGAUGGCACUUCCUCUUCCAGGGAGCUUUGUAACCUCUCCCCAUUGGUGCUCUUAUUGUUGACGUGCUUCCCAAACAACCAUUUACAAGAGAUUGACCACAGAGGUCAUCUGAAGGUCAACAGGUCAAGUCUGUUUGUAAAGCCAACCCCACUGUAGCAUGCACAUUACCUUUGUGGAAAAACUCACACAUAUGCUUUAAAAGAUAAAAAGAAAAACCAUUCUUGAUAUUUUUUUGUAAGUGAUAUAUUUUUCAAGUAAUAUUGUAUAUAGUGUACAUUUUAGCAGCAUAUUAUUAUCUAAGAAACUAACAGCCAGCCAACAGAAUGUAAAGUAUAAUGAUGUCAGUGGAGAAGUAGAGAGAAUGCUGUAAGUCUGCAGAGUGGUUGGUCUGAUGUCACGCUGUUUCAAGUUGUGCAUUACCUCAUUUCUGUCUUGCAGUUCAUAACAUCAUUAUGUGUAUUGUAUAGUUAUUGUAUAUACAUGAAUGAAAAGCUUUAAAUGUUAAUAUUUAUUAAAUUUUUAAAUGGUAGGGAGAGAAAAAAACGUUUGAAAGAAAAAUGUAAAAGUUGUCGUCUUUUUUGCAUCAUCUUGGUCCGAGUCGAGAGCUAAUUAGCUGGUGGAAAAACUCAGUCAGAUUAGGACAAUACCCUGUGGAUCAAAUCCUUUUUCCUAUGCUCAAACCUUUUUUUAUGCUAACAUCAGGAUUUAGUUCAUCCCAGACCACAUCUUAAAAGGACAAUCUGCAGUUGAUCUUUAGACUUCUAAAUAUUGAUGAUGUAUACCCAUUGAUUCUUGAAGAAUAUAACUUAUAGAUGCUUAGUUCAACUGUCGUACCGUACCCAUCAGAACUCAAAAUACGCUGACUGUACAAACAUUAGGGCUUAGUUAUGUCAACAGUAAAUGUUGGUGUUCCUCAAGGUUCCGUUUUAGGACCACUAUUGUUUUCACUAUAUACUUUACCUCUUGGGGAUGUCAUUCGAAAACAUAAUGUUAACUUUCACUGCUAUGCGGAUGCCACACAGCUGUAGCUGUACAUUUCAAUGAAACAUGGUGAAGCACCAAAAUUGCCCUCGCUGGAAGCCUGUGUUUCAGACAUAAGGAAGUGGAUGGCUGCAAACUUUCUUCUUUUAAACUCGGACAAAACAGAGAUGCUUGUUCUAGGUCCCAAUAAACAAAGAGAUCUUCUGUUGAAUCUUACAAUUAAUAUUGGUGGUUGUACAGUCGUCUCAAAUAAAACUGUGAAGGACCUCGGCAUUA